rnacentral:rRNA from 1 species
ACAUCGCUCUUUGAAAAAUUUGUAUAAAGAGUUGAACCUGCCCAGUGAAUAUUUUAACGGCCGCAGUACCCUGACUGUGCAAAGGUAGCAUAAUCAUUUGCCUUAUAAUUGAGGGCUAGAAUGAAUGGUUUGACAAGAGUAAAGCUGUCUCUAUAAAAUUUAUUAGAAUUUGGUGUUUAGGUGAAGAAACUUAAAUGAAAUUGAAAGACAAGAAGACCCUAUCGAGCUUUAAAAUAAAGUUUUUAAGAAUAUUUGGUUCUAAAUUUAUUUUGAUAAUAAUUUUUUGGUUGGGGCGACUGAGGAACAAAAAAAGCUUCCUUAUUAAAAAUAGACUAUUAGUUUUGAUCCAAUAAAUUGAUUAUAAAAAAUAGUUACCGUAGGGAUAACAGCAUAAUCUUUUUUAAGAGUUCUUAUCGAAAAAAAGGUUUGUGACCUCGAUGUUGGACUAGGAUAUCCUGAGGGUGUAGAAG